CAUAAAGUAUGUCGUAGUCCGGAUUGGAGUCUGCAACUCGACUCCAUGAAGUCGGAAUCGCUAGUAAUCGUAGAUCAGAAUGCUACGGUGAAUACGUUCCCGGGCCUUGUACACACCGCCCGUCACACCAUGGGAGUGGGUUGCAAAAGAAGUAGGUAGCUUAACCUUCGGGAGGGCGCUUACCACUUUGUGAUUCAUGACUGGGGUGAAGUCGUAACAAGGUAACCGUAGGGGAACCUGCGGUUGGAUCACCUCCUUA
rnacentral:rRNA from 1 species